UACGUAGGGGGCAAGCGUUGUCCGGAUUUAUUGGGCGUAAAGAGCGUGUAGGCGGCCAUGCAGGUCCGUUGUGAAAACUGGAGGCUCAACCUUCAGAGGUCGACCGAAACCAUCUGGCUAGAGUCCGGGAGAGGAGAGUGGAAUUCCUGGUGUAGCGGUGAAAUGCGCAGAUAUCAGGAAGAACACCCGUGGCGAAAGCGGCUCUCUGGAACGGUACUGACGCUGAGACGCGAAAGCGUGGGGAGCGAGCAGG
rnacentral:rRNA from 1 species